rnacentral:rRNA from 1 species
AAUGAACGCUGGCGGCAUGCCUAACACAUGCAAGUCGAACGAGACCUUCGGGUCUAGUGGCGCACGGGUGCGUAACGCGUGGGGAUCUGCCCUUGGGUUCGGAAUAACUCGCCGAAAGGCGUGCUAAUACAGGAUGAUGACGUAAGUCCAAAGAUUUUUCGCCCAAGGAUGAGCCCGCGUAGGAUUAGCUAAUUGGUGGGGUAAAGGCCCACCAAGGCGACGAUCCUUAGCUGGUCUGAGAGGAUGAUCAGCCACACUGGGUCUGAGACGCGGCCCAGACUCCUUCGGGAGGCGGCAGUGGGGAAUAUUGGACAAUGGGCGAAAGCCUGAUCCAGCAAUGCCGCGUGAGUGAUGAAGGCCUUAGGGUUGUAAAGCUCUUUUACCCUGGAUGAUAAUGACAGUACCGGGAGAAUAAGCCCCGGCUAACUCCGUGCCAGCCGCCGCGGUAA